rnacentral:rRNA from 1 species
UGGGGAAUUUUGGACAAUGGGCGAAAGCCUGAUCCAGCAAUGCCGCGUGUGUGAAGAAGGCCUUCGGGUUGUAAAGCACUUUUGUCCGGAAAGAAAUCCUUGGCUCUAAUACAGUCGGGGGAUGACGGUACCGGAAGAAUAAGCACCGGCUAACUACGUGCCAGCAGCCGCGGUAAUACGUAGGGUGCAAGCGUUAAUCGGAAUUACUGGGCGUAAAGCGUGCGCAGGCGGUUGCUAAGACCGAUGUGAAAUCCCCGGGCUCAACCUGGGAACUGCAUGGUGACUGGCAGGCUAGAGUAUGGCAGAGGGGGGUAGAAUUCCACGUGUGAGCAGUGAAAUGCGUAGAGAUGUGGAGGAAUACCGAUGGCGAAGGCAGCCCCCUGGGCCAAUACUGACGCUCAUGCACGAAAGCGUGGGGAGCAAACAGGAUUAGAUACCCCUGGUAGUCCACGCCCUAAACGAUGUC